AUGGCGAACAUCGACAUGGCGGCGGUGCUGGCGGACAUGGACCGGGACGCGGCGGCGGACGCGCGGACGCCGCGGACCAAGCUCGUGUGCACGCUCGGCCCGGCCUCCCGCUCCGUGCCCAUGCUCGAGAAGCUGCUCCGCGCCGGGAUGAACGUCGCGCGCUUCAACUUCUCCCACGGCACCCACGAGUACCACAAGGAGACCCUCGACGCCCUCCGCCAGGCCAUGCACAACACCGGCAUCCUCUGCGCCGUCAUGCUCGACACCAAGGGACCUGAGAUUCGUACUGGAUUUUUGAAGGAUGGUAAACCAAUCAAACUGACAAAGGGUCAAGAAAUCACUGUUUCCACUGACUACGAUAUCAAGGGCGACACGAACACCAUCUCCAUGAGCUACAAGAAACUUCCUCAGGAUGUGAAGCCUGGGCAUGUCAUACUAUGUGCUGAUGGUACCAUCUCCUUGUCUGUUCUGUCUUGCGACCCAGCAGCUGGAACUGUCAGAUGUAGGUGUGAGAACACUGCAAUGCUUGGAGAGAGGAAGAAUUGUAAUCUGCCAGGAAUUGUCGUGGACCUUCCUACGCUGACGGAGAAGGAUAAGGAGGACAUUUUGGGAUGGGGUGUGCCUAAUGACAUUGACAUGAUUGCUUUGUCAUUUGUCCGCAAAGGAUCAGAUUUGGUGACCGUCAGGCAGCUUCUUGGACAGCAUGCAAAGCGCAUCAAGUUAAUGUCAAAGGUUGAAAACCAAGAGGGCAUUGUAAACUUUGAUGACAUUCUGAGGGAAACCGAUGCCUUUAUGGUUGCCAGAGGUGAUCUUGGAAUGGAGAUUCCAGUUGAGAAGAUAUUCCUUGCACAGAAAAUGAUGAUCUACAAGUGCAACCUUGCUGGCAAGCCUGUGGUCACAGCGACCCAGAUGCUUGAGUCAAUGAUCAAGUCCCCGAGGCCAACCCGUGCCGAGGCUACUGACGUCGCAAAUGCGGUGCUUGAUGGAACUGACUGUGUCAUGCUCAGUGGUGAAAGCGCUGCCGGAGCAUACCCUGAGGUGGCUGUGAAGAUCAUGGCGCGCAUCUGCGUGGAGGCGGAGUCUUCCCUGGACAACGACGCCGUCUUCAAGGAGAUGAUCAAGGCCGCGCCCCUCCCGAUGAGCCCGCUGGAGUCCCUCGCGUCCUCGGCCGUGCGAACCGCCAACAAGGCCAGGGCCACUCUGAUCGUCGUCCUGACCCGUGGCGGCACCACGGCGAAGCUGGUGGCCAAGUACCGGCCCAGGGUGCCGAUCCUGUCGGUGGUCGUCCCGGUGCUGACGACCGACUCGUUCGACUGGACCGUCAGCUCCGAGGGCCCCGCCAGGCACAGCCUGAUCUACAGGGGCCUGAUCCCGCUCCUCGCCGAGGGCUCCGCCAAGGCCACCGACUCGGAGUCGACGGAGGAGAUCCUCCAGGCGGCGCUCAAGUCGGCCGUGAAGAAGCAGCUCUGCAAGGCUGGUGACGCCGUCGUCGUCCUGCACCGCAUCGGCGUCGCCUCCGUCAUCAAGAUCUGCACCGUCAAGUGA
rnacentral:rRNA from 1 species